rnacentral:rRNA from 1 species
UACGUAGGGGGCAAGCGUUGUCCGGAAUCAUUGGGCGUAAAGCGCGUUUAGGCGGCCUGUAAAGUCUGGUGUGAAAUCUUGCGGCUUAACCGUAAGCGGUCACUGGAUACUGACAGGCUUGAAUCCGGAAGAGGAGUGUGGAAUUCCUGGUGUAGCGGUGGAAUGCGUAGAUAUCAGGAGGAACACCUAUGGCGAAGGCAGCACUCUGGUACGUGAUUGACGCUGAGACGCGAAAGCGUGGGGAGCAAACAGG